rnacentral:rRNA from 1 species
GGUUAAAUAAGGUUAAGUUAAUAAGGGCGCACGGUGGAUGCCUUGGCACUAGGAGCCGAAGAAGGACGUGACUAACGACGAAAUGCCUUGGGGAGCUGUAAGUAAGCAUUGAUCCAGGGAUGUCCGAAUGGGGGAACCCAACAUGUAAUGCAUGUUAUCCAUGACUGUUAAGGUCAUGCGAAGGAAGACGCAGUGAACUGAAACAUCUAAGUAGCUGCAGGAAGAGAAAGCAAAAGCGAUUGCCUUAGUAGCGGCGAGCGAAACGGCAGGAGGGCAAACCGAAGAGUUUACUCUUCGGGGUUGUAGGACUGCAAUGUGGACUCAGAAUUUGUAGAAGAAUCCUCUGGGAAGGGGAGCCAAAGAGAGUAAGAGCCUCGUAUUCGAAACAGAAUCUGUACCUAGCAGAAUCCUGAGUACGGCGGGACACGCGAAAUCCCGUCGGAAUCUGGGAGGACCAUCUCCCAACCCUAAAUACUCCCUAGUGACCGAUAGUGAACCAGUACCGUGAGGGAAAGGUGAAAAGCACCCCGGGAGGGGAGUGAAAUAGAACCUGAAACCGUGUGCCUACAACAAGUUCGAGCCCGUUAAUGGGUGAGAGCGUGCCUUUUGUAGAAUGAACCGGCGAGUUAUGAUAUGAUGCGAGGUUAAGUUGAAGAGACGGAGCCGCAGGGAAACCGAGUCUGAAUAGGGCGAAUUAGUAUCAUGUUAUAGACCCGAAACCAUGUGACCUACCCAUGAGCAGGUUGAAGGUGCGGUAAAACGCACUGGAGGACCGAACCAGGGCACGUUGAAAAGUGCUUGGAUGACUUGUGGGUAGCGGAGAAAUUCCAAACGAACUUGGAGAUAGCUGGUUCUCUCCGAAAUAGCUUUAGGGCUAGCGUCGAUGUUAAGUCUCUUGGAGGUAGAGCACUGUUUGGGUGAGGGGUCCAUCUCGGAUUACCAAUCUCAGAUAAACUCCGAAUGCCAACGAGAUAUAAUCGGCAGUCAGACUGCGAGUGCUAAGAUCCGUAGUCGAAAGGGAAACAGCCCAGACCACCAGCUAAGGUCCCAAAAUAAUUGUUAAGUGGAAAAGGAUGUGGGGUUGCACAGACAACUAGGAUGUUAGCUUAGAAGCAGCUAUUCAUUCAAAGAGUGCGUAAUAGCUCACUAGUCGAGUGACCCUGCGCCGAAAAUGUACCGGGGCUAAAACAAUUUACCGAAGCUGUGGAUACCUAUUUAUAGGUAUGGUAGGAGAGCGUUCUAUGUGUGGAGAAGGUGUACCGUGAGGAGCGCUGGAACGCAUAGAAGUGAGAAUGCCGGUAUGAGUAGCGAAAGAUGGGUGAGAAUCCCAUCCACCGUAAGACUAAGGUUUCCAGGGGAAGGCUCGUCCGCCCUGGGUUAGUCGGGACCUAAGGAGAGACCGAAAGGUGUAUCCGAUGGCCAACAGGUUGAUAUUCCUGUACUAGAGUAUGAAGUGAUGGAGGGACGCAGUAGGCUAACUCAACCGGACGAUUGGAAGAGUCCGGCUAAUCAGUGAGGCGUGGUAUGAGUCAAAUGCUUAUACCUGUAACGUUGAGCUGUGAUGGGGAGCGAAGAUUAGUAGCGAAGUGAGUGAUGUCACACUGCCAAGAAAAGCUUCUAGCGAUGUAUCAUACUCUACCCGUACCGCAAACCGACACAGGUAGUCGAGGCGAGUAGCCUCAGGUGAGCGAGAGAACUCUCGUUAAGGAACUCGGCAAAAUGACCCCGUAACUUCGGGAGAAGGGGUGCUCAGCUAGACUGAGCCGCAGUGAAUAGGCCCAAGCAACUGUUUAUCAAAAACACAGCUCUCUGCUAAAUCGUAAGAUGAUGUAUAGGGGGUGACGCCUGCCCGGUGCUGGAAGGUUAAGAGGAGGGUUUAGCGGUAACGCGAAGAUCUGAAUUGAAGCCCCAGUAAACGGCGGCCGUAACUAUAACGGUCCUAAGGUAGCGAAAUUCCUUGUCGGGUAAGUUCCGACCCGCACGAAAGGCGUAAUGAUUUGGGCACUGUCUCAACGAGAGACUCGGUGAAAUUUUAGUACCUGUGAAGAUGCAGGUUACCCGCGACAGGACGGAAAGACCCCAUGGAGCUUU